rnacentral:rRNA from 1 species
UACGAGUGGUGCAAGCGUUAUUCGGACUUACUGGGCGUAAAGGGUGCGUAGGUGGCAUAUUAAGUCAACUGUUAAAUUCCCCGGCUUAACUGGGGGUCAGCGGUAGAAACUGAUAUGCUAGAGGUUGGAAGAGAGAAGUGGAAUUCUUGGAGUAGCGGUAAAAUGCGUAGAUCUCAAGAGGAACACCGAUGGCGAAGGCAGCUUCUUGGUCCAUACCUGACACUGAGGCACGAAAGCGUGGGGAGCAAACAGG